AAGUCGUAACAAGGUUUCCGUAGGUGAACCUGCGGAAGGAUCAUUCAUAAUAAAAGUGUUUUAUGGCACUUUUAAAACAAUCCAUAUCCACCUUGUGUGCAAUGUUUUUUUUUUAAAACUCUUUAUUUUUAAUAUGUUUUGUCUGAAAUAUUUUACGAAUUUACUUAAUUCAAAAAUAUAACUUUCAACAACGGAUCUCUUGGCUCUC
rnacentral:misc_RNA from 1 species